rnacentral:rRNA from 1 species
UACAGAGGUGACAAACGUUGUCCGGAAUUACUGGGCGUAAAGAGCUCGUAGGUGGUUUGUCGCGUUGUUCGUGAAAACUCACAGCUCAACUGUGGGCGUGCGGGCGAUACGGGCAGACUAGAGUACUGCAGGGGAGACUGGAAUUCCUGGUGUAGCGGUGGAAUGCGCAGAUAUCAGGAGGAACACCGGUGGCGAAGGCGGGUCUCUGGGCAGUAACUGACGCUGGAGGAGCGAAAGCGUGGGGAGCGAACAGG